AAGAAUACUGGAGACAGGUGCUGCAUGGCUGUCGUCAGCUCGUGUCGUGAGAUGUUGGGUUAAGUCCCGCAACGAGCGCAACCCUUGCCUUUAGUUGCCAGCAGUUCGGCUAGGCACUCUAAAGGGACUGCCGGUGUUAAACCGGAGGAAGGUGGGGAUGACGUCAAGUCCUCAUGGCCUUUAUGACCAGGGCUACACACGUACUACAAUGGCCGAUACAAAGGGCAGCGACACUGCGAGGUGAAGCCAAUCCCGUAAAAUCGGUCUCAGUCCGGAUUGGAGUCUGCAACUCGACUCCAUGAAGUUGGAAUCGCUAGUAAUCGUGGAUCAGCAUGCCACGGUGAAUACGUUCCCGGGCCUU
rnacentral:rRNA from 1 species